CCCAAAGGCCCCCGCCCCCACGCCUGUUCUUCCUUAUUGGUGCGCUCACAGUCCGUGCCUUCCCAUUGGCUCGCGGCACCUACCUCCUCGCCCUCAACUCCAGUAUCGGAACCUUGGCUUACCCCCGGUCCCCGGCCGGACUGGUCCUGCUUGGUGACCCUCGGUCCAUUGUGGUCACCUCACACACUCCGCCACUUGCCAGCUGACAGCUUGGAGCCGGGACAGGGACACAGGUUUGCCAGCCCGGGCGGGACUCUGUCUAGUUCUUGGCUCAGUAUUGGAGAACGGCGAGGCCAGAAGGCGCGCAGGAAGACGUGAACUCGCGUGCGGGGCUUCCGCGUUCGCUGCCUGGGAGAUGGAGUCGGAAGGGGCGGCUCACUGGGCUCACCCCUACGCUUCGGCCUUCCGAGAGGACCCUUUCCUACUUUCGUCUGCCCUGCGUUGGGAUCAGUACUGAGAAAGUCCUAACUCUGCCUGGCCCGGGCCGGCCGAUAAACAAACGAAUGUUCAGGGAGACUGGAUAGGAGAUUGGGAUGGUCCUGACCCACCGAGGUUGGGCUACGUGUGCACGCGGGGGUGCUCUCCCGCUUAGUCAGGAUGACCCCUUCAGCAGGCUACUUGAAGACAACUGACAGGUAGCCCUAGCUUGCUAGGUAGGGAUGCUAGUCUGGCAUCAGCCCCAGAUGGCCCGGUGGCAUCAAGAAUGUGUCACCAGGGUACCUGGGUGCCGUCGGUGGAGGUGGUGGAGCAGGGGCGAACCCACCGGUGAAACGAUGGCAUAAAAGAGGCAGCUGACUUCAGGCUGAGCCUCUCGGUUGAUUUGCUUCCAGAAAGGUGCUCUUCUCAUCCCUCCCUGCUCACCUCAGGGGAGUGAGUGGCUAAUGUGUUCUGCUGCUUGCUCCAGAUAGUUUUUGGUUAAACCAGGGCUGAACCCCCAGGAAACCCUCAAACCCCAAGAUCCAGGAUGCUCACACUCCAUGCCUUGUGCAAGACGCGUGUCAAGCCACGGUGGGACGAGACGCACCUUG
rnacentral:lncRNA from 1 species